GUCGUAACAAGGUUUCCGUAGGUGAACCUGCGGAAGGAUCAUUAACGAGUUUUGAAAGGGGUUGUAGCUGGCCUUCCGAGGCAUGUGCACGCCCUGCUCAUUCCACUCUACACCUGUGCACUUACUGUGGGUCUCAGGCGAGCGUCGGUCGCUUCGCGGCGUCGUCGUUCAACUGGGCUCACGUUUUACUACAAACUAUUAAAGUAUCAGAAUGUCUACUGCGAAUUAACGCAUUUAAAUACAACUUUCAGCAACGGAUCUCUUGGCUCUCGCAUCGAUGAAGAACGCAGCGAAAUGCGAUAAGUAAUGUGAAUUGCAGAAUUCAGUGAAUCAUCGAAUCUUUGAACGCACCUUGCGCUCCUUGGUAUUCCGAGGAGCAUGCCUGUUUGAGUGUCAUGAAAUUCUCAACCUAACGAGUCUUUGCGGGCUCGGUAGGCUUGGACUUGGAGGUUCUUGUCGGCCUAACGGUCGGCUCCUCUUAAAUGCAUUAGCUCGGUUCCUUGCGGAUCGGCUCACGGUGUGAUAAUUGUCUACGCCGCGACCGUUGAAGCGUUUUGGCCGGCUUCUAAUCGUCUCGUUGGAGACACUACUCUUUAUGACCUUCUGACCUCAAAUCAGGUAGGACUA
rnacentral:rRNA from 1 species